AAUCAACGCUGGCGGCGUGCCUAACACAUGCAAGUCGAACGCGAAAGCCCCUUCGGGGGCAAGUAGAGUGGCGUCCGGGUGAGUAACACGUGGGUAAUCUACCUCCGGGUGGGGAAUAACUCGCCGAAAGGUGGGCUAAUACCGCAUAAUGCAGCGGCACCGAAUGGUGAUUAGUUGUUAAAGCGGGGGACCUUAGGGCCUCGCGUCUGGAGAGGAGCCUGCGGCAGAUUAGCUUGUUGGUAGGGAAUGGCCUACCAAGGCUGCGAUCUGUAGCUGGUCUGAGAGGACGGCCAGCCACACUGGCACUGACACACGGGCCAGACUCCUACGGGAGGCAGCAGUGGGAAUUUUGGGCAAUGGGCGAAAGCCUGACCCAGCAACGCCGCGUGAAGGAGGAAAUCCUUCGGGAUGUAAACUUCACAAGCAAGGGAAGAGCGCGCAGGGUCGAAUAACUCUGCGUCCGACGGUACCUUGCGUAAGCCACGGCUAACUACGUGCCAGCCGCCGCA
rnacentral:rRNA from 1 species